rnacentral:rRNA from 1 species
UACGUAGGGUGCAAGCGUUGUCCGGAAUUAUUGGGCGUAAAGAGCUCGUAGGUGGCCUGUCGCGUCGGCUGUGAAAACUCGGGCUCAACUCCGAGCUUGCAGUCGAUACGGGCAGGCUAGAGUUCGGCAGGGGAGACUGGAAUUCCUGGUGUAGCGGUGAAAUGCGCAGAUAUCAGGAGGAACACCGGUGGCGAAGGCGGGUCUCUGGGCCGAUACUGACACUGAGGAGCGAAAGCGUGGGGAGCGAACAGG